AGUCGGACGGUAGCACAGAGGAGCUUGCUCCUUGGGUGACGAGUGGCGGACGGGUGAGUAAUGUCUGGGGAUCUGCCCGAUAGAGGGGGAUAACCACUGGAAACGGUGGCUAAUACCGCAUAACGUCGCAAGACCAAAGAGGGGGGCCUUCGGGCCUCUCACUAUCGGAUGAACCCAGAUGGGAUUAGCUAGUAGGCGGGGUAAUGGCCCACCUAGGCGACGAUCCCUAGCUGGUCUGAGAGGAUGACCAGCCACACUGGAACUGAGACACGGUCCAGACUCCUACGGGAGGCAGCAGUGGGGAAUAUUGCACAAUGGGCGCAAGCCUGAUGCAGCCAUGCCGCGUGUAUGAAGAAGGCCUUCGGGUUGUAAAGUACUUUCAGCGGGGAGGAAGGCGGUGCGGUUAAUAACCGCGCCGAUUGACGUUACCCGCAGAAGAAGCACCGGCUAACUCCGUGCCAGCAGCCGCGGUAAUACGGAGGGUGCAAGCGUUAAUCGGAAUUACUGGGCAUAAAGCGCACGCAGGCGGUCUGUUAAGUCAGAUGUGAAAUCCCCGGGCUUAACCUGGGAACUGCAUUUGAAACUGGCAGGCUUGAGUCUUGUAGAGGGGGGUAGAAUUCCAGGUGUAGCGGUGAAAUGCGUAGAGAUCUGGAGGAAUACCGGUGGCGAAGGCGGCCCCCUGGACAAAGACUGACGCUCAGGUGCGAAAGCGUGGGGAGCAAACAGGAUUAGAUACCCCGGUAGUCCA
rnacentral:rRNA from 1 species